rnacentral:rRNA from 1 species
GACGAACGCUGGCGGCGCGCUUAACACAUGCAAGUCGAGCGAAGCGGCGGACGGGUGAGUAACACGUGAGUAACCUGCAUUAGACAUUGGGAUAGCCUCGGGAAACCGGGAUUAAUACCAAAUGGUCUAAGAUGGACUCGCGUGCCAUUAGAUAGUUGGUGAGGUAACGGCCCACCAAGGCGACGAUGGGUAGCCUGGCGGGGAGGGUGAGCGGCCACAUUGGAACGGAGCAGCGGUCCAGACUCUACGGGAGGGAGCAGUGGGGAAUGUUGCACAGUGGAGGGAACGCUGAUGCAGCGAGGCCGCGUGAGCGAAUUAGGCUUGCGAGACGUAAAGUUCUUUUAGAUGGGAAGCGUUACCAAAAGAAAAAGCCCCGGCUAACUACGUGCCAGCCGCCGCGGUAAUAC